GGAUGGGUGGCCGAGCGGCUUAAGGCAGCGGUCUUGAAAACCGCCGCGGGCGCAAGCCCGCCGUGGGUUCGAAUCCCACCCCAUCCG
rnacentral:tRNA from 1 species